AACACUGGGUUUUAAUUGUGUCACAGG
rnacentral:piRNA from 1 species